UACACACUUUGUGUAUUAAAUAAGAAAAGAUUAAAUGAACAACAGAAGUAAAAAAGGUUACAGCGCUAAUGAGCCUGUCUUGUCUCCUCUGAACAAUCUGUGCUGGAGUUGGAAUAUAUUUCCUGUGGUUCAUCAGAAGAACUGGCAAGCAAACAAGGCUGACAGAUGUAGUUCAGACUUGUGAGGAUUUCCUGUUGCAAAAUUUUGGCAUUCACUAACAUUUCCUGGUGGUGUAGAAAAGCCAGAAGAGUAAUGGGUUGUUGUAAUGGUUUGGCCUGAAGAUUCUUCCUGUGGACCUAAGUGGAUGGUGAUUUGAAUUAUAUGCCCUGCAAGGUGAGAGCCAUAAAUCAGGUCUGAGCAGAAGUGAAAGUCUAAGUGAUUGUUAAUGUUUUGAAAUUAAGGUGCCAAACUUCGUUUCACGUCUUUGAGAUCUGGACAGGACAAAGAUACUUUCCCUGCUUUAGAAUAAGGAAAUAGUGAAAGAGGGAACUUUUGAACUGUAUUCUUCAGAAAUUCCCAGGAGGUGUGGUGAGUGCACUUCUUCCAAGACUGCUAAUGAAAAGCCAUAGUGUUCUGGAGGAGGUACAGAUGGCCUCUGAAGGAUGGCUGUAUGAUGCUUCAUUCAGUGGGAUUCCAACUCAUCAUGCCCAGCCUGCUACCUCAGAGACAGAAGCUGAUGUUUUAAAUAUGACUGUGGAGCUGAGUACCUUCUGGAGCAGUCACGCUGCAUCUUGGAUGAAUACCAAAGCUGCUGAGCAUUCAGCACUGCGUCAGUCUCCAAGGGAGCUAGAAAUGUAUGGCCCAGGAAGACCCUCAGCUCCAGAAUUCACCAGGAAUCAUAGCAUCUCUUUCAUCCCAAGCUAACUAAAACCUUUCCAUUAGAGCAGGUUUUUUCCUAAUCAAAUACCUCUGUGUCAAAAGACUGUUUGAGAAUUCAUGAUUUAUGUGUUUAAGGAGACUGAGGAAAGGGCUCUUCUGUUACACAUUCCAUUUCUUUACCCUGAACAACCGUGCCUUCCCCAAAUUCAUGCUUUGAUGUAGAUAAUAGAAAUUAAAUAAAUGUGGUAGAGAUAUUAU